CAGGGACCACCUGAGACUUUCUGCAGCUCCGUGAUUUCAGCUUUAUGACCCUUAAUUGACAUUUCAAAAAGGCUUUCCUUACCAUGUGCUGAUUGAAAAAUAAAUAGUUUAGCAAAGAGAGGUCCUUCUUUCCAUGAAUUUGUCCCCACUGGCCACUUAAAUAGUGUGUGUUUAGGUGAAGUACCCUUUACUUCUGUGGGAGGAAACAAAGACUUUUUAAAACCACAUUAUUGCUGCAGCCCCAGAAGCUGAGAAGAAAGAGAACAGAUGGGUGGCUCUUCUCAAAGAAUGGUGCCUUCAUCUGGAUUUCCUCUUCUUAAACAUUUAUCUUCUUGUUCCUUGAAGGCUUUUAGGAAUUAUUAAUUCCACAGUGGCUGCAUGGUAACUGUUGAUUAGUGGUGGCUUAUUUUGGAUUUUCAAAGAAGUCUCUGAUCUACCAAAGUGAGUGUGUCCAACAGAGGUACACAAAAGGAAGAUUCUAACCCCAAGAUGAUGUAGCUCUUGAAGAAAGCAGGAGAGACUUCUGGGACUUAUGAUGAUAAAGCUGGAAAUCUCGCUCCUCUGGCUCAGAAAAAUAAAGGGCUCUACCUCUCUUGAGAACCCUCAGCACCUAGGACAAGGAGAAACUUAGUGCUUCCAGUGGAGGGGGCUGGUGACAUGAAGUCUACAAAGUUCCCAAGAGAGGACAAAACCUGAGAGCAUCAGCAUGUCUCAUGCAAACUUCCUCUGCCCCUGGAAAAAACUCUGGGGGAUCCAGGCAGGAGAAGAGAUAAGCUGUGGCCCACAUGGCUCCCUGGAGAGAAAGACAGCUCUGCUCUGGUUUACUGGGCUAACUGGAAGACAGCAUUCCCAGAAAGGCUAUUAUGGAGCAGAAUUGUAGCAACGGUGUUCUUUCCCCCAGCUAGUGGAGCUGAGCUUAUAAUGCAGCUCAGCCUUCAGCACAUGCAGAGAUCCACCAACAGAAAAAGAAGGGCCCUUCUAAUGUUUGUACAGUCCAUAAAUCAGUUCUCUGGUGGAGACAGCCUCACCCUUGUUCUUUUGGUGGUCUUUUCUUUUUUACCCGGUACCUUAACCAGGAACUGACUUGUCUUUGCUCACUUACCUUAACUUGAAAUAUUAUCUUAUAUGUUCUUCCUGUGGUGGAAGAUUGAUUUUUUUCCAUCAUUCUCUUCUCUAAUACCUCUUCUUCAUUAUUUUCUAUUGAAUGCCAGCUCCUUUCCCUCUUCUCAAGAAGAGGGAAAAGACACAUGUCAUAACCAUUUUCCCUAUUGAAGGAAGCUGGCAGUUUUAUAACGUAACUCUCAUUACAUUCCUAAGACAGAGACUGGGAUGGGUGUAGUGCAGUGGUCUUCAAACUUAUUUUUUAAACAUUCACAAUUUUCUUUACAAUUUUUUGAAUUCAUCUCUUAGUUACAAAUUCAUUUAUUUGUAAGUUAUACAUAGUUGAUUAUACUAAUCUGUGCAUUUAAAAACACAAAAAUAAAACAUUUAAAUAGUUGAGUUAAAUUUGAAAUAUAUAAUAUUAAUUUUUUAUCAAUUUUAGCUAGUCUCUUACAUCACUAUAUAUCAUCAAGGCAAAGUUCAUCAUUAAUAAUAAUGGAAGUAAAUGUGUAAUUGUUUCAGCUCACAGUGUAGCCGAUAAAGAGAUUGUUCUAGCAGGAAAAGUAAUAGGACUUCCACUUUUUGGUUGUUUGCUUGUGCUUGCUUUAUGAAGAGUCUCUUUAAUUUGCAAUUUCUCACAGGAAUCUUUUUAAGCCCCUCAUUCCUUUUAUGAUGGUUAAUGUAAUAAAAACUAGAUAAGAUCAUCUGUAAACUUAUGUAGACAGAUACAUGUACAUUAUUUUUGUCUUAAUAUUCAAUAUGCUGAAAGUGCAUAAUGUGUGAGGUUCCCUACUGUUAAUGGCCCUGGGCCAUAGAUUCACACUCAGGAAAGCAUGUGUACUGUAUGUGAAAUGAAUCCAUCUCAAAUAGGCUCUGAGUGUAUCAUUGCCAAUAUGCACAUUACAUAUCUGUAAACCUUAUAUUUAUUAUGUUAUAGAUACAAAUAAAUAAAAUGUUAAGUAUUUUCUUCCCAGUCCAAUGAAUCAUUUCGCACAUUCAUCAAUGUGUGGACAGCCUAUAUUAAGAACCAUCACCGGUUUAGUGAAUGUGUAAGAGACUCUUAGUGAUCCACCAUUAUCUCACUUGGAAACCCUAAAAACAACAGAUGCCAUAUGAUCA
rnacentral:lncRNA from 1 species